rnacentral:rRNA from 1 species
ACAUGUAUGCAACGGUAAUUCACCAAAUCACAUUAGAAAUGUGUAAUUAAGCGCACAUGGGCUAGAGUAGUACUAUGAUAUAUGAACUCUCGAGAAGUCCUAGUAUUUACAUGCC